rnacentral:sRNA from 12 species
CGUAGACCGGCAUGUUGCGUAAGGAUAAUCAACCACAGAGGGCGAGAAGUUCGUCCUUAUCCUCAAAAGGCUAAAAGAGGAGAUAGUGCUUCUGAUAAUUCAGAAGGGCGUCGUGAAACACAUUUUGUGGCUCGUCUGUAACUCCCGGAGGUGAGAACACCUCUUUGUACACGGGGCGAUAUAGGAGUCUAGAAGACUGGCGUGUACCUACA